CCUACGGGUGGCAGCAGUGGGGAAUAUUGGACAAUGGGCGAAAGCCUGAUCCAGCCAUGCCGCGUGUGUGAAGAAGGCCUUCGGGUUGUAAAGCACUUUCAGUGGGGAAGAAAGCCUUGGGGCUAAUACCCUCGAGGAAGGACAUCACCAACAGAAGAAGCACCGGCUAACUCCGUGCCAGCAGCCGCGGUAAUACGGAGGGUGCGAGCGUUAAUCGGAAUUACUGGGCGUAAAGCGCGCGUAGGCGGUCUGAUAAGCCGGUUGUGAAAGCCCCGGGUUCAACCUGGGAACGGCAUCCGGAACUGUCAGGCUAGAGUGCAGGAGAGGAAGGUAGAAUUCCCGGUGUAGCAGUGAAAUGCGUAGAGAUCGGGAGGAAUACCAGUGGCGAAGGCGGCCUUCUGGACUGACACUGACGCUGAGGUGCGAAAGCGUGGGUAGCAAACAGGAUUAGAUACCCGAGUAGUC
rnacentral:rRNA from 1 species